GACUCAGUAGCUGAGUGGAUAACGCGAUGGCGUUUGAAGUGAAAGGUACUGUGUUCGAGUCCCAGUGGAUUG
rnacentral:tRNA from 1 species